CGCGAGGAUCUGUCAGAGAGCGGUGCAGGCUGUGAGGAGAAGCCGGAAACUGAGCAGAGCGGCGAGGAGAGAAGCAACACACCGGGGCAGAGCUGGAAAGAUCGGAGGGGCUUGUGUCACCAACAUCCCUCCAUCUCUUCCUGACGUAUGCAUGCUACAAGAGAUAACGUCACAAACAGAUGGAAAGGAGGUAUCCGUGUGUUAACAUGAGGUCGCUUAACUGAAGAAUGAGGGAUGAAGGAAGGAAGGAUGUAAGCAAGGAGAGAAAGAUGCAGAGGAGGAAACCGUUGCAGAUUUUAAAAACCUUCCUCUAUUCUCUUGUUUGACCUGUAUGUAAAGUAAAAACUGUGCAACAAAAGAUUCACAUUCAUUGAGUCCAAAACAAUCGAUGCCACUGACAAAGUUUCUCUUCCUUUUGCUCGCAAAAACUUGACAAAAAUGCACCUGACGAUAACCAAAAAUAAGUCUGUUAAGAGAAACAAUAAAAGGGCACUUUGAAA